AUUGAACGCUGGCGGCAUGCUUUACACAUGCAAGUCGAACGGCAGCGCGGGCUUCGGCCUGGCGGCGCGUGGCGAACGGGUGAGUAAUGCAUCGGAACGUGCCCAGUCGUUGAGGAUAGCCCGGCGAAAGCCGGCUUAAUACCGCAUACGACCUGAGGGUGAAAGCGGGGGACCGAAAGGCCUCGCGCUAUUGGCGCGGCCGAUGUCGGAUUAGCUAGUUGGUGUGGUAAAGGCUUACCAAGGCGACGAUCCGUAGCUGGUCUGAGAGGACGACCAGCCACACUGGGACUGAGACACGGCCCAGACUCCUACGGGAGGCAGCAGUGGGGAAUUUUGGGCAAUGGGGGCAACCCUGAUCCAGCCAUGCCGCGUGCGGGAAGAAGGCCUUCGGGUUGUAAACCGCUUUUGUUCGGGAAGAAAUCCUCUGGGCUAAUACCCCGGGGGGAUGACGGUACCGGAAGAAUAAGCACCGGCUAACUACGUG
rnacentral:rRNA from 1 species